rnacentral:tRNA from 1 species
UGGCUGAAAGGUAAAGCGCUUGGCUUCCGAACUGGGGUUCCAGGUUCGAAUCCUGG